UAAGCUUUAGGUUAUACAAACUAAGGGCCUUCAAAGCCCUCUAAGAGACCCUCUCAAGCUUUAG
rnacentral:tRNA from 1 species